rnacentral:rRNA from 1 species
GACGUAGGGGGCGAGCGUUGUCCGGAUUUAUUGGGCGUAAAGAGCUCGUAGGCGGCUCAGAAAGUCGGGUGUGAAACCUCCAGGCUCAACCUGGAGACGCCACCUGAUACUGCUGUGGCUAGAGUCCGGUAGGGGAACACGGAAUACCCGGUGUAGCGGUGAAAUGCUUAGAUAUCGGGUGGAACACCAGUGGCGAAGGCGGUGUUCUGGGCCGGAACUGACGCUGAGGAGCGAAAGCGUGGGUAGCAAA